AAUAUACACUUAUACCCCAAUGGUAAAUUAAUUUAGACAUUAGAGUUUAGAGUUAAGGGGUGGGGUUUAGGAUUUAGGAUUUAGGGUUUAGGGUUUAGAGUUUAGAGUUUAGGGUUUAGGGUUUAGAGUUUAGGGGUAGGGUUUAGGGUUUAGGGUUUAGAGUUAAGGAGUGGGGUUUAGGAUUUAGGGUUUAGGGUUUAGAGUUUAGGAUUUAGGGUUUAGGGUUUAGAGUUUAGGGUUUAAGGUUUAGAGUUUAGGUUUUAGGGUUUUCGGGAGUGGGGUUUUGGGAUAAGAUUUAAAAUUUUGAAAAAUAAAAAAAAUUUAAAUUUUUCA
rnacentral:lncRNA from 1 species